rnacentral:rRNA from 1 species
UACGUAGGGGGCUAGCGUUGUCCGGAUUUAUUGGGCGUAAAGAGCGUGUAGGCGGCCAGGUAGGUCUGGUGUGAAAACUCGAGGCUUAACCUCGAGAUGUCAUCGGAAACCAUCUGGCUAGAGUCCGGAAGAGGAGAGUGGAAUUCCUGGUGUAGCGGUGAAAUGCGCAGAUGUCAGGAAGAACACCAAUGGCGAAAGCAGCUCUCUGGGACGGUACUGACGCUGAGACGCGAAAGCGUGGGGAGCGAACAGG